rnacentral:rRNA from 1 species
UCGAACGAUGAAGCCCUUCGGGGUGGAUUAGUGGCGAACGGGUGAGUAACACGUGGGCAAUCUGCCCUUCACUCUGGGACAAGCCCUGGAAACGGGGUCUAAUACCGGAUAACACUCUGUCCCGCAUGGGACGGGGUUAAAAGCUCCGGCGGUGAAGGAUGAGCCCGCGGCCUAUCAGCUUGUUGGUGGGGUGAUGGCCUACCAAGGCGACGACGGGUAGCCGGCCUGAGAGGGCGACCGGCCACACUGGGACUGAGACACGGCCCAGACUCCUACGGGAGGCAGCAGUGGGGAAUAUUGCACAAUGGGCGAAAGCCUGAUGCAGCGACGCCGCGUGAGGGAUGACGGCCUUCGGGUUGUAAACCUCUUUCAGCAGGGAAGAAGCGAAAGUGACGGUACCU